AUGCAUAUAUUUUGGGCAGACGGCACUGGUAUAAGGAACUAUCAACAAUAUGGUGAUCUCCUAAGUUUUGACACAACUUACAAAACAAACAAGUAUAACCUGAAGUUUGCUCCAUUUGUGGGUGUAAAUGGACACGGAGACAACUGCCUCUUUGCAUGUGGUUUCAUACAAGAUGAGAAGAAAGAAAUUUUUGAGUGGUUGUACAAAACUUUUCUGAAGUGCAUGGGAGGAAAAGCUCCAAAAUCUGUGAUAACAGAUCAAGAUGCAGCUAUGAAAAAGGCAGUUCCUAAGUGUUUUUCUAGUUGCAUGCACAGGAACUGUUUGUUUCACAUUCUAACAAAAGCGCAGAACAAAGCUAGGAGAACAUUUGCAAGGAACGAGCAUUUGAAUGCUCAGUUUCAUGACAUAAUCCUAAACUCACAAACAGUUGAGGAGUUCGAGCACCUCGGGCCCCAGAUGAUACAACAACACAAUGUUCAACAUAUCAAGCACUUCGGGAUUAUGUGGAAAAAUAGAAAGAGAUUUGUACCUGCAUAUUUCAAGAAUGACUUUUUCCCAUUCAUCCAGUCAACGGCAAGAACUGAAGGUACAAAUGUUGUAUUCAAGGCAAAUGUAGGGUCAAGUCAUAGUGUGAUUGCUUUCAUGACAGAGUUUGACAGAAUAUCGCAGAGCAUUGAAGAAAAAAAAAGAAAAUGA
rnacentral:rRNA from 1 species